rnacentral:lncRNA from 1 species
UCUGACUGUUAUGGAACUGAUUUACAGGAGACAGGACUAUUGCAAGGACAAAUAGUAGACCUGAAUUUGUAGAAUGAAAAAGGAAACUGCCUCCAUAAGCUUGAAUUAAUGGAGCUUGACCCAAGUAAAAUAUCAGGUAUGCAGGAUACUCUUUUUCAGUCAUUAAAAGAAAAAAAAAUGGGGAGUAAAACGCAAGACCAUAAAACUUCAGCUGAGUUGUUUUGAGUUGUUUUUUUUUUUUCUACUCACUCAUUUCUCUCAAGCUGCAGGUGAAAGAUUGAUUCUGGGGAGUAGAUGGCAAGAGUCAGGUUGGCUCUGUUCUGUGCUCAUCUGUGCUCAUUACCCAUAAUGACAUUUUUCUUAGCACAGGAAAUUGUGCCAUGAACGGCUUCACCCCAGGCAAGGACCCCAGCCCCGGAGACUGGUGACAUCACAAUGCCAAGUGUUCCACAACAGAACAGGGUUGGGGAGGCGUGGGGGGGGGGGGCAAUCACUGGGCAGCAACCUGCCCUUGGCUGAGACUCGAUAAAGUUUCCCAGGUGGAAGAUGUAGAAUCGAGGGGCUCCUGCUUUCCCUGGAAAAUGCUCUGUGGACAGAGCAGCAUUACCUCAGAUCUUCUUUGUUCUGUCCCAACUUUACAGGUGGAGGGCGACAUGACCUCCUCAACUGCCCCACCAUCCAGGACUGUUUUCCCUGCCUUCUGUUGAUGUGGAAGGGUAUGAUAGCAGGAGUGAAGCUAAAUCUUCAGUUGCUCCUCCUAGGCUGCCUCCAGAAAACACUAUUACGCUGAAUGCCAGAGCACUUCCUGCCUGUAAGCAAAGCAAAUCCCGUCCCUCUAGACUGUGUCUGUUUCCCCCUUUAGACCGUGAGCUCGCUGUGGGCAGGAAUGUGUCUGUUUGUUAUUCUAUUGUACUCUCCCAAGUGCUUCUUACUACAGUGCUUUGCACACAGUAAACACUCAGUAAAAAUGAUUCAUUGAAUGAGUAAAUGAAUGAAGAUUCCCCCAAAAUGAGAUGCCAA